rnacentral:rRNA from 1 species
UACCCGCUGAACUUAAGCAUAUCAAUAAGCGGAGGAAAAGAAACUAACAAGGAUUCCCCUAGUAACUGCGAGUGAAGCGGGAAGAGCUCAAAUUUAAAAUCUGGCGGUUUGUGGCCGUCCGAGUUGUAAGCUAGAGAAGGGCCAUCCGCGCCGGGGCCAUGUCCAAGUCUCCUGGAACGGAGCGUCGUAGAGGGUGAGAAUCCCGUCCGUGGCAUGGGACCUCCCGGGGCAUCGCGAUGGUGCUCUCAAGGAGUCGAGUUGUUUGGGAAUGCAGCUCCAAAUGGGUGGUAAAUUCCAUCUAAAGCUAAACAUUGGCGAGAGACCGAUAGCGAACAAGUACCGUGAGGGAAAGAUGAAAAGAACUUUGGAAAGAGAGUUAAACAGUACGUGAAAUUGUUGAAAGGGAAACGCUUGAAGUCAGUCACGUCGGCUUGGGAUCAGCCUUGCGAUUGCGAGGUGCACUCCCUGGUGGACUGGUCAGCACCAGUUUCGACCGUUGGAGAAAGGUCGGGGGAAUGUGGCAUCCUCGGAUGUGUUUAUAGCCCUCGAUCGCAUGCAUCGGUUGGGAUUGAGGAACUCAGCGCGCGCCGCAAGGCCGGGUUUUACCACCGCUACGCGCGCUGCUGGGU